UCUACUGUCCUCCCAAAUACUUGUCUACCCUAAAUUACCUCCUGUCUAUUCCCCUGAUACUAACCCUCUUCAUUAGAGUUCUCCUCCAAAUUUCCUAAGUUAUAUUAACCCCAUGCCCUCACAUCUUUCCCCCUUACCAUAGCAUCCUACGCCCAGCCCCCAGUUCUCUGUCUGCCACCAGAAACUGUACAUCUUUUAUGUACAGAUAAAUAUAAUAAAGGUAUUGGGAAAAUACCUUUUUCAUACAGAGUAUGAAACCUCUGAUAUAUUUUAAAUAAUAAUUGAAUCCAACAUUUCUGGACAUUGAGACUAACUAUAAAUGUCUUAAUAACAAUAAUUUGUUCAUAGGUGAUGUAUCGUUGAAAUUGGGAUCUGUAAACAUUGUCCUUCUCCACAAAGGAGGGAUCAUGGAACCAUACAAGAGCACUAAAAAUCUAUAGAGUAAAAACAAUAACACACCAGUUCCACAAGUUGCUGGAAAGAAACAAACCAAGCAACCUGAAAAGACAAGGGAAGAAAGUACCACAAACAAUUCAAGACAACAUAUCAUUAGAAGAAUUAACAGCUACAGUGGAAAAGAGGACAGAGAAAGAUUUCAGAAUAUACAUGACUAAAAUGUUUUGGAAUCUCAAAGAAGACAUUAGAGAACAAAUACAGGCAGUGAAAGAUCACUUUGACGAUGAACUACAUAAACAAAUCCAAGAAGCAAAAGGUCACCUCUACAGGGAGAUAGAGGUUAUACAAAAAAACCAAAUAGAAAUCCUUGAAAUGAAAGAAAUAAUAAACCAAAUUAAAAACUCAAAUGAGAGCAUCACCAGCAAAGUAGACAACUUAGAAGAUAGGACAUCAGACAACAAAGACAAAGCAUAUCACUUGAAAACAACAUAGACAGCACAGCAAAAAUGAGCAGAAAACAUGAGCAGAACAUUCAAGAAAUAUGGGGCAGCAUAAAAAGACCAAAUUUAAGAGCUAUUGGGAUAGAGGAAGGCCUAGAGGUCCAAACCAAAGGAAUGAGCAAUCUGUUCAAUGAAAUAAUAUCAGAAAACUUUCCAUAUAUGAAGAAUGAAACAGAAAUCCAAAUCCAAGAAGCCUACAGGAUGCCAAAUGUGCAAAAUAACAGCAGAUCCAUA
rnacentral:lncRNA from 1 species